rnacentral:siRNA from 1 species
AAAAAAAAAGUAGUGUGGGCAAGCGUG